UGGGGUUAUGGCUCAGUGGUACAGCACUUGCCUAGCACGUGUGAGGCCCUGAGUUCGAUCCUCAGCACCACAA
rnacentral:tRNA from 1 species